rnacentral:rRNA from 1 species
AACGAACGCUGGCGGCAGGCCUAACACAUGCAAGUCGAGCGCACCCUUCGGGGUGAGCGGCGGACGGGUGAGUAACGCGUGGGAACGUGCCCUUCUCUGCGGAAUAGCCUCGGGAAACUGAGAGUAAUACCGCAUACGCCCUUUGGGAGAAAGAUUUAUCGGAGAAGGAUCGGCCCGCGUUGGAUUAGGUAGUUGGUGGGGUAAUGGCCCACCAAGCCGACGAUCCAUAGCUGGUUUGAGAGGAUGAUCAGCCACACUGGGACUGAGACACGGCCCAGACUCCUACGGGAGGCAGCAGUGGGGAAUCUUAGACAAUGGGGGCAACCCUGAUCUAGCCAUGCCGCGUGAGUGAUGAAGGCCUUAGGGUUGUAAAGCUCUUUCAGCUGGGAAGAUAAUGACGGUACCAGCAGAAGAAGCCCCGGCUAACUCCGU